rnacentral:tRNA from 1 species
GGAGGGUUCGCAUAGUGGUCUAGUGCGGCACCGUGCUAAGGUGUUGUCCGGGAAACCGGACCGUGGGUUCGAAUCCCACACCCUCCG